UCGUAACAAGGUUUCCGUAGGUGAACCUGCGGAAGGAUCAUUACCGAGUGCGGGUCUUUAUGGCCCAACCUCCCACCCGUGACUAUUGUACCUUGUUGCUUCGGCGGGCCCGCCAGCGUUGCUGGCCGCCGGGGGGCGACUCGCCCCCGGGCCCGUGCCCGCCGGAGACCCCAACAUGAACCCUGUUCUGAAAGCUUGCAGUCUGAGUGUGAUUCUUUGCAAUCAGUUAAAACUUUCAACAAUGGAUCUCUUGGUUCCGGCAUCGAUGAAGAACGCAGCGAAAUGCGAUAACUAAUGUGAAUUGCAGAAUUCAGUGAAUCAUCGAGUCUUUGAACGCACAUUGCGCCCCCUGGUAUUCCGGGGGGCAUGCCUGUCCGAGCGUCAUUGCUGCCCUCAAGCCCGGCUUGUGUGUUGGGCCCUCGUCCCCCGGCUCCCGGGGGACGGGCCCGAAAGGCAGCGGCGGCACCGCGUCCGGUCCUCGAGCGUAUGGGGCUUCGUCUUCCGCUCCGUAGGCCCGGCCGGCGCCCGCCGACGCAUUUUUUUGCAACUUGUUUUUUUCCAGGUUGACCUCGGAUCAGGUAGGGAUACCCGCUGAACUUAAGCAUAUCAAUAA
rnacentral:misc_RNA from 1 species